rnacentral:rRNA from 1 species
CGGCAGCACAGAGGAGCUUGCUCCUUGGGUGGCGAGUGGCGGACGGGUGAGGAAUACAUCGGAAUCUACUCUGUCGUGGGGGAUAACGUAGGGAAACUUACGCUAAUACCGCAUACGACCUACGGGUGAAAGCAGGGGAUCUUCGGACCUUGCGCGAUUGAAUGAGCCGAUGUCGGAUUAGCUAGUUGGCGGGGUAAAGGCCCACCAAGGCGACGAUCCGUAGCUGGUCUGAGAGGAUGAUCAGCCACACUGGAACUGAGACACGGUCCAGACUCCUACGGGAGGCAGCAGUGGGGAAUAUUGGACAAUGGGCGCAAGCCUGAUCCAGCCAUACCGCGUGGGUGAAGAAGGCCUUCGGGUUGUAAAGCCCUUUUGUUGGGAAAGAAAUCCAGCUGGCUAAUACCCGGUUGGGAUGACGGUACCCAAAGAAUAAGCACCGGCUAACUUCGUGCCAGCAGCCGCGGUAAUACGAAGGGUGCAAGCGUUACUCGGAAUUACUGGGCGUAAAGCGUGCGUAGGUGGUCGUUUAAGUCCGUUGUGAAAGCCCUGGGCUCAACCUGGGAACUGCAGUGGAUACUGGACGACUAGAGUGUGGUAGAGGGUAGCGGAAUUCCUGGUGUAGCAGUGAAAUGCGUAGAGAUCAGGAGGAACAUCCAUGGCGAAGGCAGCUACCUGGACCAACACUGACACUGAGGCACGAAAGCGUGGGGAGCAAACAGGAUUAGAUACCCUG